rnacentral:piRNA from 1 species
UAUUAUAUUUCACCCUUACUGGAAUGUGAU